GUAUAUAUCGGAGCAGAGCAACGAACUAGAGAAGAACAUGUACUGCUUCUCCUGAUCGGUGUUGCAUUUGCUGGCGGUGGCGUCAGCUCAGCGCGUGGCGCUGCCGGGGUGCCGGGACAGGUGCGGCAACAUCACGGUCCCCAGCCCUUUGGCAUCGGCGCCGGCUGCUACUGCGACGACCGACUCCGGGGCUUCCAGCUCGAGUGCGACGACGACACCGUCCACGCCCCACCGUCUUCGGCCGCUACAACCGCGUCGCAGGCCUCUCCUCGGCAGCGCCUACCUCUUCUCGUCCACCGAGAACCGUCUGGUGGCGCUCGGCUGCCCUAACCUCGGUUUCUUCGUCGACGCAGCCGGAUACUACGUCAUCGGCUGCAUGUCCGUGUGCCGGCCAUCCUGGUACGCCCUGCCGGGCCUGUGCACCGGCGUCGGGUGCUGCCAGAGCGCGAUACCGCCCGGGAUCAGCUUCUUCGAGCCGCACCAGCGCAAAUUCCCGCCGCACCAGGACGACAAUCCCACCUUCAUCAGCAACGCCAUGUCGUGCCACUACGUGUUCCUCGUCGACACUGAGUGGUUCACGUACAGCGACCUUGUCUUCCUCAACCACACCGACGACUUCGACAUGCCCGUCGUGCUCGACUGGGCCGUGCGGAACGUCGGCAACUGCAGCGCCGCCAGGCGCAACGCCACCGACUUCGCCUGCCGGAGCGCGCACAGCGAGUGCUUUGACGCCGACAACGGCCCCGGGUACCGGUGCAACUGCUCCAGGGGCUACGACGGCAACCCCUACCUCGACGGUGGAUGCACAGACAUCGACGACUGCCAACUGAAAGACGAAUACUCGUGCUAUGGGGUCUGCACGAACUCGCAGGGAAGUUACACUUGCCAAUGCCCUCCCGGGACAAGUGGAGAUGCCACCAGGAAGGAUGGCUGCCGGCAGAAGGACAAGUUCACAUUAGCUCUGAAGGUCGUUACAGGAGUGAGCGUGGGGGUGUUCUUGUCAGUGUUCAUGUGCUCCUGGCUCUACCUGGGGCUACAGAAGAGAAAACUCAUCAAGGCAAAGCAGAGCUUCUUCAAGCACAACGGAGGCGUCAUCCUGCAGCAGCAGACGCGUGGGGCUGCCGGGGGAGGCGGUGGCGGGUUCAAAAUAUUCUAAGAAGAGGAGCUCAAGAAGGCGACAAACAACUUCACCGCCGACCAGAUCCUCGGUCUCGGUGGCCACGACAUUGUGUACAGAGGUGUCCUGGAGGACAAUACUGUAGUGGGCGGCCAUCAAGAAGUCCAAGAUGAUGGAGGCCACCGAGACCAAGGAGUUUGCGAGGGAGAUGCUCAUCCUCUCCCAGAUCAACCACCGGAACAUCGUCAAACUGCACGGCUGCUGCCUCGAGGUGGAGGUGCCGAUGCUUGUCUAUGAGUACGUCUCCAACGGAACUCUGUACCACUACAUCCAUGGCGGCGAGGGCCUCGACAUCAACAAGGCACUCGACACCCGCCUUCGGAUAGCAGCAGAGUCUGCCGAGGCCCUGUCAUAUAUGCACUCGUCGGCCUCGCCCCCAAUCGUCCACGACGAUGUCAAGACGGCCAACAUCCUGCUCGACGGCAGCCUCGCCGCCAAAGUCUCUGACGUCGGGGCGUCGAAGCUACAACCAAGUGAUGAGGCUGAGAUUGCAACACUGGUGCAAGGGACCUGCGGGUAUCUGGACCCGGAGUACCUCAUGGCAUGCCAGCUCACAGACAAGAGUGACAUCUAUAGCUUUGGUGUUGUUCUGCUUGAACUCUUGACAGGGAAGAAGGUGUUGUGCUUUGAUGGGCCAGAGGAGGACAGGAGCCUCGUCUCCCGAUUCACGAUGGCCGUGAAAGCCGACCAGCACGACGAGCUCCUUGAUGACCAGGUGAGAACAAAGAUGGGCCCAGAGGCGUUGGAAGAAGUAACGCACCUUGUGAUGCAUUGUGUGAGCAUGAUCAGGGAGGAGCGUCCAUCAAUGAAGGAGGUUGCUGAGAAACUGGAGGCUCUAAGGAGGUACCAACGACACCCAUGGUGCCGAUCCGAAGGAGGGGCAAAGCUUGCUUGGCGAAGAGCAACAACAUGA
rnacentral:rRNA from 1 species